UUGUUUGCUGUUGGAGCAUCAUCAAGAUUCACAAAUCAUCAAGUCAAUGCACAUAUAUUCAUGUGUAAAUGCAUCCAUACAUAAUAAGAUCAUUUUGAUGUAUAUAUGAGAAUCUUGAUGAUGCUGCCGCUGCAAUCAG
rfam:Arabis alpina cultivar Pajares scaff_65930_1_contig_1, whole genome shotgun sequence.